rnacentral:rRNA from 1 species
CCUACGGGGGGCAGCAGUGAGGAAUAUUGGUCAAUGGGCGCGAGCCUGAACCAGCCAAGUAGCGUGAAGGAUGACUGCCCUACGGGUUGUAAACUUCUUUUAUACAGGAAUAAAGUGACUUACGUGUGUCUUUUUGUAUGUACCUUAUGAAUAAGGAUCGGCUAACUCCGUGCCAGCAGCCGCGGUAAUACGGAGGAUCCGAGCGUUAUCCGGAUUUAUUGGGUUUAAAGGGAGCGUAGGCGGCAUGUUAAGCGAGCUGUGAAAUGUUGGGGAUCAACCCGGGACUUGCAGGGCGAACUGGCGUGCUGGAGUCCACGGAAAGGAGGCGGAAUUGGUGGUGGAGCGGGGAAAUGCUGAGAUAUGACGAAGAACUCAGAUUGCGAAGGCAGAUU